rnacentral:sRNA from 1 species
UCUCGGCUCUACGCUCUGGAGUCCCGGGAGCAGUGAGGGGCCACCCGGGGCACAGGAAAGGGCUGCUGGGGGAGGGCCGGGUGCACUCGGGGUGUCUGGGCCGCGGGUCUGAGGGAUGAGGAGGGGCCAUGGCCAGCGACGGGGCCAGGAAGCAAUUCUGGAAGCGCAGCAACAGCAAGCUCCCGGGCAGCAUCCAGCACGUGUAUGGUGCCCAGCACCCCCCCUUUGAUCCACUGUUACAUGGCACGCAUUCCUCAGGGAGGAGACUGGUUUCUCAUUCAGCCACACUGAUCAAGCAGUCGCUUUGUGUGAGAUACUGUGCACCCCGUGCUGCGCAUCCCGUUUGCUCAGGUCCACGGCCAAGAUGCCGGCCACACCAGUGAAGGCCAAGAGGGUCAGCACCUUCCAGGAGUUUGAGAGCAAUACCAGCGAUGCCUGGGACGCUGGGGAGGAUGGCGACGAGCUCCUGGCCAUGGCGGCGGAGAGCCUGAACUCCGAGGUGGUCAUGGAGAC